rnacentral:rRNA from 1 species
CCUACGGGAGGCAGCAGUGAGGAAUAUUGGUCAAUGGACGAGAGUCUGAACCAGCCAAGUAGCGUGAAGGAUGACUGCCCUAUGGGUUGUAAACUUCUUUUAUAAAGGAAUAAAACGAGGCACGUGUGCCUUUUUGCAUGUACUUUAUGAAUAAGGAUCGGCUAACUCCGUGCCAGCAGCCGCGGUAAUACGGAGGAUCCGAGCGUUAUCCGGAUUUAUUGGGUUUAAAGGGAGCGUAGAUGGGUUGUUAAGUCAGUUGUGAAAGGUUGCGGAUCAACCGUAAAAUUGCAAUUGAUACUGGCAGUCUUGAGUACAGUAGAGGUAGGCGGAAUUCGUGGUGUAGCGGUGAAAUGCUUAGAUAUCACGAAGAACCCCGAUUGCGAAGGCAGCUUACUAAACUGUGACUGACAUUGAUGCUCGAAAGUGUGGGUAUCAAACAGGAUUAGAUACCCCUGUAGUC